GGAAUAUUGGUCAAGGGGAGUAAGCCUGAACCAGACAAGUCGCGUGAGGGAAGAAGAUCCUAUGGAUAGUAAACCUCUUUUGUCGGGGAGCAAAUCGUGGUACGAGUACCGCGAAGGAGAGUACCCGAAGAAAAAGCAUCGGCUAACUCCGUGCCAGCAGCCGCGGUAAUACGGAGGAUGCGAGCGUUAUCCGGAUUUAUUGGGUUUAAAGGGUGCGCAGGCGGAUUUGUAAGUCAGGGGUAAAAAUGCGGUGCUCAACGCCGUAUCGCCGUUGAAACUGCGGGUCUUGAGUGAGCGAGAAGUAUGCGGAAUGCGUGGUGUAGCGGUGAAAUGCAUAGAUAUCACGCAGAACUCCGAUUGCGAAGGCAGCAUACCGGCGCUCAACUGACGCUGAGGCACGAAAGCGUGGGGAUCGAACAGGAUUAGAUACCCUGGUAGUCCACGCAGUAAACGAUGAAUGCUAACUGUUCGGUCCGCUUAAGGGCUGGGUGGUACAGCGAAAGCGUUAAGCAUUCCACCUGGGGAGUACGCCGGCAACGGUGAAACUCAAAGGAAUUGACGGGGGCCCGCACAAGCGGAGGAACAUGUGGUUUAAUUCGAAGCAACGCGAAGAACCUUACCAGCCCUUGACAUCCUGCUGGCAGCCCGGUAAUGCGGGCUUUCCUACGGGACAGCAGAGACAGGUGGUGCAUGGUUGUCGUCAGCUCGUGUCGUGAGAUGUUGGGUUAAGUCCCGCAACGAGCGCAACCCCUGCUUACAGUAGCCAGCAGCAAGGCUGGGCACUCUGUAAGGACUGCCGGGGAUAACCCGGAGGAAGGCGGGGACGACGUCAAAUCAUCAUGCCCCUUAUGGGCUGGGCUACACACGUGCUACAAUGGCGCCAACAGAGUGAGGCGAACCUGCGAGGGGGAGCAAAGCACAAAAAAGGCGUCCCAGUUCGGAUUACAGCCUGCAACCCGGCUGUAUGAAGCUGGAAUCGCUAGUAAUCGCAGAUCAGAAUGCUGCGGUGAAUACGAUCCCGGGUCUUGCACACACCGCCCGUCAAG
rnacentral:rRNA from 1 species